AACGAACGCUGGCGGCAGGCCUAACACAUGCAAGUCGAGCGCCCCGCAAGGGGAGCGGCAGACGGGUGAGUAACGCGUGGGAAUCUACCCAUCUCUACGGAAUAACGCAUGGAAACGUGUGCUAAUACCGUAUACGUCCUUCGGGAGAAAGAUUUAUCGGAGAUGGAUGAGCCCGAGUUGGAUUAGCUAGUUGGUGAGGUAAAGGCCUACCAAGGCGACGAUCCAUAGCUGGUCUGAGAGGAUGAUCAGCCACACUGGGAGUGAGACACGGCCCAGACUCCUGCGGGAGGCAGCAGUGGGGAAUAUUAGACGAUGGGCGCAAGCCUGAUCCAGCCAUGCCGCGUGAGUGAUGAAGGCCCUAGGGUUGUAAAGCUCUUUCACCAGUGAAGAUAAUGACGGUAACCGGAGAAGAAGCCCCGGCUAACUUCGUGCCAGCCGCCGCGGUAACAC
rnacentral:rRNA from 1 species